rnacentral:rRNA from 1 species
AAAACGACUCUCGACAACGGAUAUCUCGGCUCUCGCAUCGAUGAAGAACGUAGCAAAAUGCGAUACUUGGUGUGAAUUGCAGAAUCCCGUGAACCAUCGAGUUUUUGAACGCAAGUUGCGCCUAAAGCCAUUAGGCUGAGGGCACGCCUGCCUGGGCGUCUCGC